AUUGAACGCUGGCGGCAUGCCUUACACAUGCAAGUCGAACGGCAGCACGGGAGCAAUCCUGGUGGCGAGUGGCGAACGGGUGAGUAAUAUAUCGGAACGUGCCCAGUCGUGGGGAUACGUAGCGAAAGCUACGCUAAUACCGCAUACGAUCUAUGGAUGAAAGCGGGGGAUCGCAAGACCUCGCGCGAUUGGANCGGCCGAUAUCAGAUUAGGUAGUUGGUGAGGUAAAGGCUCACCAAGCCGACGAUCUGUAGCUGGUCUGAGAGGACGGACCAGCCACACUGGGACUGAGACACGGCCCAGACUCCUACGGAGGCAGCAGU
rnacentral:rRNA from 1 species